rnacentral:rRNA from 1 species
AUUGAACGCUGGCGGCAGGCCUAACACAUGCAAGUCGAGCGGAUGACGGGAGCUUGCUCCUGGAUUCAGCGGCGGACGGGUGAGUAAUGCCUAGGAAUCUGCCUGGUAGUGGGGGACAACGUUUCGAAAGGAACGCUAAUACCGCAUACGUCCUACGGGAGAAAGCAGGGGACCUUCGGGCCUUGCGCUAGCAGAUGAGCCUAGGUCGGAUUAGCUAGUUGGUGAGGUAAUGGCUCACCAAGGCGACGAUCCGUAACUGGUCUGAGAGGAUGAUCAGUCACACUGGAACUGAGACACGGUCCAGACUCCGACGGGAGGCAGCAGUGGGGAAUAUUGGACAAUGGGCGAAAGCCUGAUCCAGCCAUGCCGCGUGUGUGAAGAAGGUCUUCGGAUUGUAAAGCAUUUUAAGUUGGGAGGAAGGGUUGUAGAUUAAUACUCUGCAAUUUUGACGUUACCGACAGAAUAAGCACCGGCUAACUCUGUGCCAGCCGCCGCGGUAAAAC